CUGGGUAGCAAUAUUCGGUAGUGGGAGUGGCGCAAGGGUGCGUAACACGUGGGUAAUUUGCCGUAAAGUCUGGGAUAACUUGCUGAAAGGCGAGCUAAUACCGGAUGUGAUUGCUGGGGGGCAUCCUCUGGCACUUAAAGUCGGGGACCGUAAGGCCUGACACUUUUCGAUAAGCCCGCGGCCUAUCAGCUAGUUGGUGAGGUAACGGCUCACUAAGGCUAAGACGGGUAGCUGGUCUGAGAGGACGACCAGCCUCACUGGAACUGAGACACGGUCCAGACACCUACGGGUGGCAGCAGUCGAGAAUUUUUCUCAAUGGGGGAAACCCUGAAGGAGCGACGCCGCGUGGGGGAUGAAUGGCUUCGGCCCGUAAACCCCUGUCAUUUGCGAUCAAACCUUACGACCUAACACGUCGUAAGCUGAUAGUAGCGGAAGAGGAAGGGACGGCUAACUCUGUGCCAGCAGCCGCGGUAAUACAGAGGUCCCAAGCGUUGUUCGGAUUCACUGGGCGUAAAGGGUGCGUAGGCGGUCGGGUAAGUCUGACGUGAAAUCUUCAAGCUCAACUUGGAAACUGCGUCGGAUACUAUUCGGCUAGAGGAAUGGAGGGGAGACUGGAAUACUUGGUGUAGCAGUGAAAUGCGUAGAUAUCAAGUGGAACACCAGUGGCGAAGGCGAGUCUC
rnacentral:rRNA from 1 species